rnacentral:rRNA from 1 species
AUUGAACGCUGGCGGCAGGCCUAACACAUGCAAGUCGAGCGGGGUUUUCGGACCUAGCGGCGGACGGGUGAGUAAUGCGUAGGAAGCUGCCCGAUAGAGGGGGAUACCAGUUGGAAACGACUGUUAAUACCGCAUAAUGUCUACGGACCAAAGUGUGGGACCUUCGGGCCACAUGCUAUCGGAUGCGCCUACGUGGGAUUAGCUAGUUGGUGAGGUAAUGGCUCACCAAGGCGACGAUCUCUAGCUGGUUUGAGAGGAUGAUCAGCCACACUGGAACUGAGAAACGGUCCAGACUCCUACGGGAGGCAGCAGUGGGGAAUAUUGGACCAUGGGCGCAAGCCUGAUCCAGCCAUGCCGCGUGUGUGAAGAAGGUCUUCGGGUUGGAAAGCACUUUCAGCGAGGAGGAAGGGGUGUGUGUUAAUAGUACACACCUUUGACGUUACUCGCAGAAGAAGCACCGGCUAACUCUGUGCCAGCCGCCGCAGUAAGAC